rnacentral:sRNA from 1 species
AUCUCAUCCGAGGAGACUAAAACCCCCUGACUAUAGUGGACAGAUACAGCACAGGCAGUAGCAGUGCAGGCUUCUCAUGUGCUAGCCAAUCACUAACAUGCCCUUCCUCCUGACCUGGAGAUAUGCUCUCUAGAAGACAGCUGAGAGUGUAGAGAUCUGUUUAGAUUUUGGACUCUGACAAAACU